rnacentral:rRNA from 1 species
AACUUAAACCCCUACGCAUUUAUAUAGAGGAGAUAAGUCGUAACAUGGUAAGUGUACUGGAAAGUGCACUUGGACGAAC